GUGCUCGCUUUGGCAGCACAUAGACUAAAAUUGGAGUGACACAGAGAUUAGCAUGGCCCUGCGCAAGGACGACACACAAAUUCAUGAAGCGUUCCAUAUUUUU
rnacentral:snRNA from 1 species